rnacentral:rRNA from 1 species
CCUACGGGAGGCAGCAGUAGGGAAUCUUCCACAAUGGGCGAAAGCCUGAUGGAGCAACGCCGCGUGGGUGAAGAAGGUCUUCGGAUCGUAAAACCCUGUUGUUAGAGAAGAAAGUGCGUGAGAGUAACUGUUCACGUUUCGACGGUAUCUAACCAGAAAGCCACGGCUAACUACGUGCCAGCAGCCGCGGUAAUACGUAGGUGGCAAGCGUUAUCCGGAUUUGUUGGGCGUAAAGGGAACGCAGGCGGUCUUUUAAGUCUGAUGUGAAAGCCUUCGGCUUAACCGGAGUAGUGCAUUGGAAACUGGGAGACUUGAGUGCAGAAGAGGAGAGUGGAACUCCAGGUGUAGCGGUGAAAUGCGUAGAUAUAUGGAAGAACACCAGUGGCGAAAGCGGCUCUCUGGUCUGUAACUGACGCUGAGGUUCGAAAGCGUGGGUAGCAAACAGGAUUAGAUACCCGGGUAGUC